rnacentral:tRNA from 1 species
AGUUCUGUACUUUAAAAAAAGAUUUGAUUUGCAAUUAAAAAUUGAGUAACACCACUCCAGAGCUA